GACGUAGGGGGCCAGCGUUGCUCGGAAUUACUGGGCGUUAAAGGGUCCGUAGGCGGUGCGGUAAGUCGGGAGUGAAAUCUCUGGGCUUAACGUCAGCAGGCUGCUUCCGAAACUGCCGUGCUAGAGUGCGAGAGAGGCAAGUGGAAUUGCGGGUGUAGCGGUGAAAUGCGUAGAUAUCCGCAGGAACAUCCGAGGCGAAAGCGGCUUGCUGGAUCGCAACUGACGCUGAGGGACGAAAGCUAGGGGAGCAAACAGG
rnacentral:rRNA from 1 species